UGUCCCGCAUCCCUUCAUCCGGCCGGCUCUGCUACACCUCGGGGCGGUAAAGCCCGACCGCUGGGCGGGGGACCGAGAAAGCGAGGGGUCGGGAGUGGAACAGCGAGGUCGGGAGCCCCCCGGGUCGCGAAAGCUGCGUGACUGUGGCGGGGGAGGAGGCGGAUGGGGGGACGCGAGGGAGCCCGGCUGGGACUCCCGACCGCGGAUUCCUGGUCCCGCUCAGCCCCGGGACUGAGCGUCAGGCACGUCGCUUCACCCCCAGGAACUUCAGUUUUCUGGACAUAGAAGGAAGGGUUGGGGCUGGGGAGAGCUGGUCUAACACCUCGCCUGGACCGUGAGCCAGGGCUUCCGCGGGCCCGUAUUACACCUGUGUUUACAGUUUUCCCUGAGUGACUCACGCACUGAGAUAGACUGAGUUCGAGAGAGUCCCCGGGCUAAAAACUCUUGUAACAGAGUAUGACCGCCUGCCACCUCAUCCGUCUCCUGGCCUCCUCCAGCGGCCCGAACCUUGACCUGGGUGUUUCCUCAGGGAAUUAGCGAGCGCCAGGGUCACCACCGUAAGCCUGCCUGGUCCACAGGGAUGAGCCCCUGAGCCUCCAGCCAGCUGAGAGGUGCAGGACUGGUUUCCCUUGAGAUUCCUGGGCUUGCCAUGAGAUCUGGCAGUGACAGCAGGACUGAGGGUGAGGAGGGAAGAAACCUGACGCGCAGAGGACCACAGAAUUUGCCAGGGCCUGUCAGCUGAACAGCGGUAAUACUGGGAUCGGAAGCAACAGCCAUCUGGUUCCACGGGUGGACAAUUCCUGUCUUGCCGUGCUGCCCUCUCCAAGUCCUGGCAGUCCAGCCCGAUUUUUCCUUCUUCUCUAAAUGAGAGGAAACCAUGUCAACAAACAGGGAAGGGAACUCUGGACCAAACAGAAGGGGCCAGGCCUCUCUUUACCAAGACCUAUUGGUGGAGGGAGGGCGCAGGGGGCGGGGGGGGGGGGGUUGAUAAGCAGGUAGGUACAAAGUGGUCUGUACCAGAGAAAUUUAAAAAAUGGCAUAAGGACAUGCAUGCGAUUCAGUUACAGUGGGAGAUGGCGCAUCCCCGGGGUUUGAGAAGUUCCUUGCUCCCAUGAUUCAGGCUAGAUGCGCCUCUAGUUCUCCCUCUCUAAGGCCUGGCUGGGGACACCCACCUCACAGGACUGAGCAUAGAGAAAGCAUUCCCGUUCCCCCUUGAUCUUCCUCUCUUUACUUAACGUAUCCCUAACACACAAACAGGCGGAAGAACAUAAGGAUCAGAAGCAAAGGCAAUGGUGGGACGAGAUUGGCAGUUCUGUGGCAUGAGACGGCAAUGGAAGGGUUAAUUCAGUCUUUCUGCCAAAUAAUCCGUGUCCCCAAGUGUUUUGCUGCGCUCACACAAAAUAAAUGCAUUAUUCCAUAGUUGCUGACAUAUCACGUGAAUCUUUUCAUGCCAGCGACAUGGCCUUAAAGAUGGCUUCAUCUUGCCUAAUGAAAAGAGUCAAAAAAUACUUCAAAAGACCCACUUAGAGCCGCACAAAAUACCCGUUCUCUCAUGCAGGGUUCCACCAGUGACUGUUAAGUAUGUUAUCUCCUCGGUAAAGCCGCGGUAAGCUCAUGCAUUUUAAUAAACAAUUCUUGCUCGAACUU